GCACACAGUCACAUGUGUCUGAAAAUUAGAGUCUAAACUCUGGAGAUUCAGAUUUAGGAGUGACUGACACAUAGACAGUAGGUAUAUGAGAUCAUCUAAGAAGACUCUGUAAAGAGAAAAGAGCAGCGGACCAAGGGUUGAACAUUGGGAAGCACCCGAGAUGGAAGAAGAGGAAAAACCGGCGAAACAGACAAAGAAGCAGUGGUCAGAGAUUCAUGAGAACAAGGAGAGGAUAUCAUCAGGAAAGCUAAGGGAAUAAAUAAUUUGAAAAAUUACCAAAGUAACAAAUAAGGCCCAAAUAGUAUCCAUGGGUUUUAGCAUUGACACUGUAGAUGUCAUUAGUGUCCCCAAAGAGAACAGUAAAUUGGAUGAGGCAGAAGGCAGACUUAUAGUGGCUGAGCAGUAAAAGGGAAGGAAAGAAGCUACUGUCAGAUUUUCUACUGCUGAAGGAAAGAAGCUAUUGUCAGAUGCUAGAGGAAAAUUUUGAUACAGUGACAGAGUUUGGAGCAAAAAGAAAUGAAAAGGUCUGCUGUAACGUGGAAGAAGGAAGUUUAAAAGCCACUGGAGAACAAAUGAUCACCUUUACCAAAGAGAAAGCAGGAAAUAGAAAAGAGUCAACAGACUCCUGACACGGUAAUUUCCAACUCGUAGGAAAGAUUAAGCAUUUGUGCAGCCGAGCAUUAAGAUGACAAACAGAGAAACUAAGAGAGAAGAGAGAAGAACCAAAAGCGAUAAAAAUGAGUCGAGCCUCUCAUCAUCUUCAACAAUAGCAAUAAACAUUUUUUGAUCAGCUUCUAACUGCAAGGCCUGUGUCAGACCCUGAAGAUGCAAAGAUAUAAUAUCAUCCCUCGGAGAGUUCAUGAUAGUCCUGAUAAAAAAAAAAAAAACUAAAUACAUGAAAAUACAAAGCAAUAUAAAAGUGGCAAGUGGGCGUUCUUAAUAGUAACACGUGACUGUGAUAGAGGAAGGUUCCCAUGACCAAGGAGACGGGACUGAAUCUGGGACUUACUGCAAAAUGAGUAGAAUCUAGUUAAUAAUGAAAUCGACAUCAAUUUAUUAAAAACAAUGAAGAAAGAGUUUGGGCAUUCUGGACAAAAGAAACACGCUGAGAAAACAAUAGAUUACAAGAAAGAUGCUGUGAAACCAAAAGCAAUCCAGCAGACAAGAAGGGGAGCACGCAGGCACUGCCUUCUCAAGAAUUAAGGAUAUUUAUCACUUGGGAUGAUAUUCAUGUGGCCUCACCAGCUUCCGGAACAGCUCCGCUCUUAACGUUUGAACAAUUUAUUGCCUAAUUAUUUCUUUUGCCCUUUUGAAGAGUCUCUCUGCAGGACA
rnacentral:lncRNA from 1 species